rnacentral:rRNA from 1 species
AUGAAGCUGGAAUCGCUAGUAAUCGCGAAUCAGAAUGUCGCGGUGAAUACGUUCCCGGGUCUUGUACACACCGCCCGUCACACCAUGGGAGUCGGAAAUGCCCGAAGUCAGUGACCCAACCGUAAGGAGGGAGCUGCCGAAGGUGGAGCCGGUAACUGGGGUGAAGUCGUAACAAGGUAAC